rnacentral:rRNA from 1 species
AGCUCCAGUAGCGUAUAUUAAAGUUGUUGCAGUUAAAAAGCUCGUAGUUGGAUUUCUGGUGUGGGGCACCUGGCCCGCCGCCACUGGCGUGUGAGUGCCGGCGUGCCCCGGCCAUCCUUCCGGAGAGCGGGUCCCCCCUUCAUUGGGUUGGGGCCCGUCAUUCGGAUCUUUUACUUUGAAAAAAUUAGAGUGUUCAAGGCAGGCGCUUCGCUGUGAAUACAUUAGCAUGGAAUAAUGACAUAGGACUUUGGUUCUAUUUCGUUGGUUUCUAGGACGGAAGUAAUGAUUGAUAGGGAUAGUUGGGGGUGCUAGUAUUUAACGGCCAGAGGUGAAAUUCUUGGAUUCGUUAAAGACUAACUAAUGCGAAAGCAUUCACCAAGGAUGUCUUCU